GAAGUCUGCAGUGAAAGACUGUGUCUAUGGUUCAGACUCUUCCUCUUCCUCGGGUCUGGAGGUGAAGUGUUCAGACUUACUGAAUCGUCCGGUCAUCUCUCUGUCUGUGUCUGACGGGGCUUCCCAGGCCCGGCCACAGGGGGUCCGGGUGCUGCUGGGGUCAAAGUUCAGGGUCAAAUGCUCUGUGGAGCCACAGUACCCGGGAGGCUCCUUCCAGCUCCUCUCUCCCACUGCGCCCCCUCGGUCAGAACCACACCCUGCCCGCUGUCAAUCACUCCGCACACUUCCUGUUCUCUGACACUGGCUCCGCCCACAAAGGAAACUACACCUGUGUUUACCACCUGCAUGUGUUCAACCACAACUUCUCCUCUCAGAGCCCCAGCCUCCAGCUCUCUCUGGGAGCUCCAGUCUCAGACCUGAUCAUCAGAGUCCUGGUCAUUCUACUGUUGAAGCUCCUCUACAUCCUUCCAAUGUACUACUACUACUGCAAGGUCCGGGCCAGAGGGGGCGCUAGAGAGAGGACCUGAGGACCUGGACUUUGACCGUUUCAGAUGUGAGCUCCUGGAUGUUCAAUACAUUUAUGUAAAUACAGAGUGACUUAAAUCAUGUGAUUGUGUCUGUUAUGUUUAAUCACACUCUAGGGUCAGUUACACUCUAGGGUCAGUUACACUUUUUAUCAUCAUUCUUUUGUGUUUAUUUUGGUAUAAUGUACUUUUGCUGAUGUUUGAUAAACUGUUUGAAUCCUCAUGUUUUUAGAGACUCUUUUGUGUAUUUAAACUUGUGUCCUGGAGUUACUCUGGUACUUUGGUUAAACGGCCUGGUACGUGUGUGUUCCAUAGAGAUAUUACAUAUGCAUGUGUCCAUAUUAUCCUUAUAACUCCAUGAAUAAGAAUAACUCCAAUAUGUUUAUUAAAUGUGUAAUAAAGGUCUGUAUCACACAUACCUGUGGAUUUUCAAAAUAAAUGUAAGAAAUGAGUUAUAAUCCACACAAA